CUUUCAGGGUUGAGAUGCGUCCGCUCAAAAGACUACAGGAAGGGGAAACCGAGGAGGUGUCAUGGGCCGAGUUGUAGAGGUGAGUAGGGUAGAAAUGGGUCUCCCCACACCCUCUCCUUUUAUCCCCUUCUAGCCUCGCCCCAGAUUGGCUCUCCUAAUCACCUGGAGAAGAAGGAGUCUGGGAUCCAGCGCCAAGCCUCCAGCUUGAGGCGGAGCAAUUCUUGAUGGACAGGGACUACCACCUCCACCCCCCAGAAGAGGCGGGCAUCCCGCCUCCGUCCCGUAGGAUGGAGCCUCGAGGAUCUCUCAUACUCACCGCUUGCCCCCUACGUUCAGAUGAAUCACUUCCCCGGGUGCUCCCCGACUCGGGACCCCCUCCGCUGCAGUCGUCGGGACAGCCAUAGCCCCCCGGCAAGCCGGCCGGCUUGCACCCACUUCCGGGUGUGUAUAAACCCGCCCCUACCCUUUGCUCAUUGGCCUAGAGACUCCAGGCUCCACCGACGAUUGGACAGGGAGCUCGCUCGGCGCAACUACGGUCUCUGACUCUUUAAAGAGGGGCGGUCUUUCCUGGCUCUGAAGGGGCGCACGUCGGGGAUCCUUUGGGGGUGAUUUUGUAACUUUCCCCCUUUUCUAGUUUCCCUUAUUUUGUUGUAAUAUAUAAAGAAUGUAAGCGAUUCGUUGAAGAGCGCGAGCGCAGAUCUUGAAAUGAGCCUAUACCAAGGCUUAGGUAUAUGUAGAGUCUAGGAGACUGCCUUCGCAGCCUUGUCCCCACAGCCCACCCUCCAAUCCUGUCUCAGACACACGAACAAACCAGCGUAGACUGUCAAAGCCAAAGGGUUUAUUGCCCACCGUGGCGCAUCCGCAGUCAUCCGGAAGGCCCUUGCGGAUGAGAAGGUGUCUUUGUGUCCACAGUGCCGAGAGGAGGGGCAAGGAGACUUGUCAGACUCCAAGGGGUCGGGGAAGGG